UUUGAAAUAAAAAAAAAAAACCCUUUAUUUAGAAAAAUGUCAGAGUCUUUGUCGCACCAGAGCAGUUAAUUUCUGCAACUCCUCCAGUGAUACCAUAAACGCCUUCCGGAGGGUCAUUAGCCGCAGACACUGCCACGACAGUUGGAUGUCUCGUUGUUCUCUGCACACCAGGGGGUGUCCAUCAAUCAGAGAGAGAGGCAGCGCCGAGUGACGGAUGGUUGAUGGGUGAUGACACUAAAUAUGCUGUCAUUUUGUCUGAGACUGGUGCCUGAGUCGGUCGGUGGGCCCGGCUGAGUGUCAGAAGCAGCUUCAGUGACCACGUUUGCUAAAGAAGGAAGGUUUAUGCUUUCUAAUCUUCUUUCUUGUUUUUUUUCCCACCAUUAGUCAAAGCCCUGACAGGAAAAUAUUAAAUGGGACAAAGAAGCUGUGCUGCACUGGUCUGAAUUGUUGUUAUUUAACAACACUCGUAGCUCUUCUGAGAUGGAAAAAAAAACAACACAAUUUUUAAUAGAAGCUUCUCAAUGCAGGGUCAAGGUUAAUGGAUCUCGUUGUUAUUCUUUCAUCUUGUUGCAGUGUUCCUAUCAGUCUCUACCCGAAAUUCUGACCUUGAGGCCACACCGUAACCCCUCGGGAUGUUGUUUUGCACUAAAGUCAAUUAUGUUUUAGUAAUGCAUACCGUUAGGUAGCAAUCCCCAGACAAUCAGUCACUGUCUGCACAAGCUGGCCGCACUGGCUCAUCCUCCUCAUCUCCCAUCCCAU